rnacentral:misc_RNA from 1 species
AAGUCGUAACAAGGUUUCCGUAGGUGAACCUGCGGAAGGAUCAUUAUCGUAUCUCUGGUGGCGUGGGGCGAGCCCUGCUCCGGCCCACAAAAGCCGUGAAGCGGGCCCGCGUCCGCCGCCCAACCUUUGAAACCCCACCGUGAACCUUUACGGCGGAGGGUGCCGGCGAGAGCUGUGCCCGAAGCCGCAUUUACCCAAAACUCCAGUUUUGAACGAACGUCUCAGCGGACACUGUGCCGCCUAUGAAACUUUGACAACUUUCAACAACGGAUCUCUUGGCUCUC